ACGGGUGAGUAAUGUCUGGGGAUCUGCCCGAUAGAGGGGGAUAACCACUGGAAACGGUGGCUAAUACCGCAUAACGUCGCAAGACCAAAGAGGGGGACCUUCGGGCCUCUCACUAUCGGAUGAACCCAGAUGGGAUUAGCUAGUAGGCGGGGUAAUGGCCCACCUAGGCGACGAUCCCUAGCUGGUCUGAGAGGAUGACCAGCCACACUGGAACUGAGACACGGUCCAGACUCCUACGGGAGGCAGCAGUGGGGAAUAUUGCACAAUGGGCGCAAGCCUGAUGCAGCCAUGCCGCGUGUAUGAAGAAGGCCUUCGGGUUGUAAAGUACUUUCAGCGGGGAGGAAGGCGAUGUGGUUAAUAACCGCGUCGAUUGACGUUACCCGCAGAAGAAGCACCGGCUAACUCCGUGCCAGCAGCCGCGGUAAUACGGAGGGUGCAAGCGUUAAUCGGAAUUACUGGGCGUAAAGCGCACGCAGGCGGUCUGUUAAGUCAGAUGUGAAAUCCCCGGGCUUAACCUGGGAACUGCAUUUGAAACUGGCAGGCUUGAGUCUCGUAGAGGGGGGUAGAAUUCCAGGUGUAG
rnacentral:rRNA from 1 species